GAGCUGACAGUAGUAAGUUUAAUAAUACAGUGAAGUGCUAAUGUUGUCUUUAAGGUGCAGUACUUUUAAUUACUGAUGUGACUAGUGUGACUGCUUCAUACUUCAUACUAUACUUAUGUCCGACAAAAAAGUGUUGUUGACAUGUGUGUAUUUCAAAUGAUUCCAAUAGGAUUAAUACAUGUGGGUUCAGUGUAGAGUUGAGUACAGAGACAGUAUUUCCAUAGAGAGGAGGGUCACAUGGUCAGCUGAUCCUUCCUGAGUUUUAUAGUGAGCUGAAGACUGCACCACUCACAUGUGUCAGUGAACGCACCAUGGCUCUGGGCUGCACCAUCCUCAUCUGGACACUGGCCUGCUGCUGCUUCACAGGAUGCAGUGGUCAGGUCACAGUCACUCAGCCUCCAGUCCAGAUGUUUACUCCAGGAUCCACAGUCACUCUCACAUGUAAAACUAACAAAGAUGUUUAUAGCAAUGACCAUGCACUGGUAUCAGCAGAAACCUGGUCAGACUCCAAAGCUCUGGAUAAAAUUGCAACACAACGUCUGUCAGAAACUCCAUCUCGGUUCAGUGGCAGUGGGAGUCACAGUGACUUCUCUUUGACCAUCACUGGAGUUCAGGCUGAAGAUGCAGCAGUUUAUUACUGUCAGAGUGUUCAUAACAACCCAUGGAGAUUCACACAGUGAUUUGUGCUCGUACAAAAACCUCCCUCAGUGAGUCGUUCAGAGUGACACCAGAGCAGGAAACAACUGCAGCUGCUCAAGAGGAACUCACAUCACUGAUCUGUGUAGAGUUACACCAAACAUUCAUUUCUACAUUAUUUUAAUCUAUUAUUUUUUUAGUUUAAUGGUUUUUGUUGGCAGAAGUGUGAACUGUUCUUUUGGCUCUGCAUAGUUACACUUUAUCUCAGAUAGGAGUCACCAUCACCAUCCAUUCACCAGUUCAACCUGUUUUACAUUUAUGUUUUCAUCUUCAUGUAUUAAUCAUCAUUUGGGGUUAAGUAGCAGGGAAUAAUGAGAGUUCAGCACUUAGUUGUAAUGAAAACAUGUCAAAAGUGUCUGCUUUUGUUAGAUAGUGUGUGGGAAAGUAGACUCUAGCAUGACAUUAAAUACUAACCAAACAUUUUGAAUCUAAAAUUAUUACAAACAAUGCUGACAGUUUAUGCUGGUGUUUGAAUGUCAGUAUUAAAUAUUGAUGUAUUCUUUUCAGUUUAAUAAUAAUACUUCAAAGUUUUGGAUCUUAUCUUAAAAGUAGCCAAGUGUAAAUACAGACAUCACGUUCCAUCCUCCACAUGAUUCACUGGAUAAAAGAUCAAAUGUUUUGAUCAUUUAGACUUAGACAAACUUUAUUGAUCCACAAGGGAAAUUGUUUGGACUCAGUAGCUCACACAUCACCUAUUUUUUUGUUUCUUUUUUUUAGAUACACCUUCAUUUUCAGACAACUCCUCUUUGA